CUUAUGUUUUUUUUCAUGACGACCAAUAAAAAACAGUGUUACCCCUUAUGUUUUUGGUAAUGAAGGUGAUACGUGACUAAAUGAGGGCGUUUUCUGUCGGGGAUGGCUUGCCAUACUAUAUGUCUAUGGUCAGGGGUCCUUGGCUAGGCUUGAGGCCGAGGUGAGACCAAGAUGGCCGCCAGGUGAGCAAUGUGCCCUGCAUGACUUCACCUUAUUGCUUCUUGUUGUAUCGACCAUCUUCAGGGUUGAAUUAUUAAAGCUGUGUGUUAAUUGGCCAAUGUAUAGAAUGAAUCGGGGGUCAAACCAGUUCAAUUGCAAACCAUUUAUUUGGAGUGUUCUUGCAUAUGAUCUGCUCCGAUCACUCACAUUCAAAUGUUGAAUCCCGCAAUUGUAUUUAUUCAUCAAAACUAAUUUUAGGGAAAUUACAUGAAGAUGCAUGAAAAAUCAAAUUCUUAAAUUGUUUCAAAUACAACUGAAGACUAACGGAAACUGACGGAAAAUUCAAGCAACAAACAUGCAAAUAAAUAUUUGACUGGUACAAGUAGUGCGAUCCCAUCACUGGUCUGUAGGGGGCAGCAUCAACACAAUAAAUAAAUAGAUGAAUGAGAUUUACUAUCGAGGUUAAGAAACAAAACAACACACAACACAUGUUGAAUACGCAGCAUGUUCUCCCCCUGCAGAGUUAUUAAAUCAGGAAACACAACAUCUGUCAGACGUCAUGAGUGGACUUUUGGUUGAAUGUUUCAAACCAGCUGCUUGGGUUCAGACGAGCCCUGGACUUCACCUCGGCUGGAGUGUUUUAGUGCACAGAUGUGUCGGCCCACAUCUGUCGGCCCACCUACCACCAGGAGGGACACUGCGGGUCUUUCUAGAACCAUCCAGAUGUUCUAAGCUACAAUGGGCAGGAAGUGAGAAACAUCUGGACAGGUGGAAAUACGAGCUCUGCUGAGACGAUCGGACUGAGAGGAAGAGGAGGUACAAUCAGGGAGGAGGAGGAGGAGGAGGAGGAGGGGAGAGGGAGGAGGGGAGAGGGAGGAGAAGGCACAAUCAGGGAGGAGGAGGAGGAGGAGCUGAUGGAGUAGAGCAGGAGGUGAUGGAGGAGGAGGAGGAGGAGCUGAUGGAGUAGAGCAGGAGGUGAUGGAGGAGGAGUGGAGGGGAGAGGGAGCAGACGAGAGAAGAGGAGAUAGUUGUUGAUAGUCGUGUUCCCGAUGACCACUCAGUAGAAGAAGUACACUGCAGGGAGAAGGAGACCGAACUGUUAGUCAGUAAACGAGGUGGAACUUUACUAGAACUCUCUUCUGUAAGAAGAGGCUGGGGCCUAGAGGCUGGUAUAUACCAGUGUUAUUAAAGGUGUAGUAUAUAUACUAGUGUUAUUAAAGGUGUAGUAUAUAUACUAGUGUUAUUAAAG
ensembl:lncRNA